GUGUCAUAUAGCUCAGCUGGUACGGCUUGAAACUCUCAAUCUCAGGUCAUGAGUUCAAGCCCCAGGCUGGGCAUA